rnacentral:rRNA from 1 species
UACGGGGGGGGGUAAGCGUUGUUCGGAAUUACUGGGCGUAAAGGGCUCGUAGGCGGCCAACUAAGUCAGACGUGAAAUCCCUCGGCUUAACCGGGGGAACUGCGUCUGAUACUGGAUGGCUCGAGUUUGGGAGAGGGAUGCGGAAUUCCAGGUGUAGCGGUGAAAUGCGUAGAUAUCUGGAGGAACACCGGUGGCGAAGGCGGUCCCCCUGGGCUGUCCCCUGACGCUGGAUGGACGAAAAGCGUGGGGAGCGAACCGGG